AACGAACGCUGGCGGCAUGCCUAACACAUGCAAGUCGAACGAGACCUUCGGGUCUAGUGGCGCACGGGUGCGUAACGCGUGGGAACCUGCCCUUAGGUUCGGAAUAACUCCCCGAAAGGGGUGCUAAUACCGGAUAAUGUCUUCGGACCAAAGAUUUAUCGCCUUUGGAUGGGCCCGCGUUGGAUUAGCUAGUUGGUAGGGUAAAAGCCUACCAAGGCGACGAUCCAUAGCUGGUCUGAGAGGAUGAUCAGCCACACUGGGACUGAGACACGGCCCAGACUCCUACGGGAGGAAGCAGUGGGGAAUAUUGGACAAUGGGCGAAAGACUGAUCCAGCAAUGCCGCGUGAGUGAUGAAGGCCUUAGGGUUGUAAAGCUCUUUUACCCGGGAUGAUAAUGACAGUACCGGGAGAAUAAGCUCCGGCUAACUCCGUG
rnacentral:rRNA from 1 species